UGGUUCUGAGCGAGAAAAGGGGGGCAACUCCCUGAGUACAGCGGCGCACGUGGUGAGUAACACGUGGGUAAUCUGCCCUGGAGUGGGGAAUAACACCGGGAAACCGGUGCUAAUACCGCAUACGAUAACGAGGUCUGCGGACUUUGUUAUGAAAGGAGCAAUUCGCUCUAGGAGGAGCCCGCGGCUGAUUAGCUAGUUGGUGAGGUAAUGGCCCACCUAGGCUACGAUCAGUAUCCGGUCUGAGAGGACGGUCGGACACACUGGAACUGAGACACGGUCCAGACUCCUACGGGAGGCAGCAGUGGGGAAUCUUGCACAAUGGGGGAAACCCUGAUGCAGCGACGCCGCGUGAGCGAUGAAGCCCUUCGGGGUGUAAAGCUCUUUCGUCAGGGAAGAUAGUGACGGUACCUGGAGAAGCAGCUGCGGCUAACUACGUGCCAGCAGCCGCGGUAAUACGUAGGCAGCAAGCGUUGUUCGGAGUUACUGGGCGUAAAGGGUGUGUAGGCGGUUCUUUAAGUUUGGUGUGAAAUCUCCCGGCUCAACUGGGAGGGUGCGCCGAAUACUGAGGGACUAGAGUACGGGAGAGGAAAGUGGAGUUCCUGGUGUAGCGGUGAAAUGCGUAGAUAUCAGGAGGAACACCGGUGGUGUAGACGGCUUUCUGGACCGUAACUGACGCUGAGACACGAAAGCGUGGGUAGCAAACAGGAUUAGAUA
rnacentral:rRNA from 1 species